rnacentral:lncRNA from 1 species
AGAAAUCUCUGCAGUUACAGGUCAGUGAUUUAAAAAGUGCCUUUGUGAAGUCACUUUUAUGGGAGAGGACUGCUACGCCUGUGUUUUCAAAACACUGUCUUUGCCAGCUAGACGUUGCCUUGACCUUACCCGUGGCGGAAGAUACCUCAACUGUCUUGAUUUGCCAAUUAAUUGAUGGGAAACUGAACUCACCGUAAGAGCGGGAAGAAGGAAUUAUUAUUACUGGGACACGAACAAAUGAACGCAUUGCUUUUCUUGUGUAAUCAGUACCAGCAAGCGACCUGCGGCGGACUAAUAUUCCAUCCAAGAGUGCCAUUGCAUUGAAGGACGUGUGCUUGAACCUGGUGCAGCAGUGAUACAGUCAGCAGACCCACACGUUUUACAGACAGAAAUGCUCCUGAGCAUGAUCUUCUUCAGCCAAAAGUCUACAAGCGGGACUUAAUGAUUGAUGAGUAACUGCUCGCUGAUAAACUUUCUCUGUUUAUUCAGUGUUGUGUGAGUUGGACAUCGUUAAUCGUCCUCCCC